CAGCCGCCGCGGUAACACGAAGGGGGCUAGCGUUGCUCGGAAUGACUGGGCGUAAAGGGCGCGUAGGCGGCGAUCAAAGUCAGGCGUGAAAUUCCUGGGCUCAACCUGGGGGCUGCGUUUGAUACUUGGUUGCUAGAGUGAGGAAGAGGGUCGUGGAAUUCCCAGUGUAGAGGUGAAAUUCGUAGAUAUUGGGAAGAACACCGGUGGCGAAGGCGGCGACCUGGUCCUUGACUGACGCUGAGGCGCGAAAGCGUGGGGAGCAAACAGGAUUAGAUACCCCCGUAGUCCCUGUCUCUUAUAC
rnacentral:rRNA from 1 species